GACCAGACUCCUACGGGAGGCAGCAGUGAGGAAUAUUGGUCAAUGGGCUUACGCCUGAACCAGCCAAGUCGCGUGAGGGAAGACUGCCCUAUGGGUUGUAAACCUCUUUUGUCAGGGAGCAAAGGGCGCCACGUGUGGCGCUUUGCGAGUACCUGAAGAAAAAGCAUCGGCUAACUCCGUGCCAGCAGCCGCGGUAAUACGGAGGAUGCGAGCGUUAUCCGGAUUUAUUGGGUUUAAAGGGUGCGUAGGCGGGAUGCCAAGUCAGCGGUCAAAUACGGGGGCUCAACCAGCGUCCGCCGUUGAAACUGGCGUUCUUGAGUGGGCGAGAAGUACGCGGAAUGCGUGGUGUAGCGGUGAAAUGCAUAGAUAUCACGCAGAACCCCGAUUGCGAAGGCAGCAUACCGGCGCUCAACUGACGCUGAGGCACGAAAGUGCGGGUAUCGAACAGGAUUAGAUACCCCCGUA
rnacentral:rRNA from 1 species